rnacentral:tRNA from 1 species
GGGCCUGUGGCUCAGUUGGGAGAGCGCCUCCCUCGCACGGAGGAGGUCGGGGGUUCGAUUCCCCCCAGGUCCAC